rnacentral:lncRNA from 1 species
GGUAUUUGUGCCCAGUUGAUCACCAUGCACAAAGGCUGAAUGACUCCUCACCCUGUAUCAUAGCCUUCAGUUCUAAGGUGGAGAUUGACAGAACCCAAUCAGAAAACAAAACAAAACAAAAAUAAACCACAACAAGAACAACAGACAUGCAUGUGGGUGGCAUUGGUAAACUGACAGUCCCUAAAGAAGGUAAUUUCUUGGGCUAUGUGUAAGGCUCUUUUCGAGACCCAAGGAAGACUCGGAGGCAUCUGCACUUGCUCUGCCAGUCCGCGAUUGGUUUUUGGUCAUGGUGUUUAGUCACAGCAACAGAAACCCUAACCAUGACAACAUAAAAGAACGACCUGAGAGUGAUAUUUGGGGAGAGGGAAAGGACUGAGAGAGUAGGUCACAGGCUUGAAACUUAGGAUUCCCUACCUCCUGGCCCCUGUCCUGCACAGGACACGACUCACUGUCUGCUUCUGAGAAUGAUCCAGACUCGUCACUGGAAUUGGUUCCGUAAGACUGCUCACAUUUAAUCUGGGGUCGGACUUGGUUGUACAUUCCAUCUCCCAUCAGGCCUGGUUCCUGAUGUUCCGUGGCAAGGAAUCUGGCUCCCUGGGAACAGGGCGAAGAGGAGAACUCACAGAGAGGGAGGCUGCAGGGGGAGCCCCCGCUCCCGUCCUCUGCGUAGGAAUACGAGGAGCAG